UACAGAGGUGGCAAGCGUUGUUCGGAAUUACUGGGCGUAAAGGGCGCGUAGGCGGUCUUGUCAGUCCCUUGUGAAAUCCCCCGGCUCAACUGGGGAACUGCACGGGAAACAGCAGGGCUUGAGUUCGGGAGAGGGAAGCGGAAUUCCGGGUGUAGCGGUGAAAUGCGUAGAUAUCCGGAGGAACACCGGUGGCGAAGGCGGCUUCCUGGACCGAUACUGACGCUGAGGCGCGAAAGCUAGGGAAGCAAACGGG
rnacentral:rRNA from 1 species